AUGUCGGCCAUCUCCAAAGGCAAGGAUCAGAACACAGGACCUGCUGGAUACCGGAGGAGGCUUAUGAGAGACAGAGGAAGCUGCCCCAGGGACCGGGGACUGAGAGACCAAGGGACCAAGGGACCAGAGAGCCCAGAGACCAGCCCAUCUUUGGCUUUGCCGAAUGACUUUGGACAGCCUCUCUACCUUCCUGGGCUUCCAUUUCUCCAUCCACGAAACGUGUCAUCUACUGAGUACCUCCUCCAGGCCGGUCAGAGAGCUGGCGCCUUCUCCUCUGCCCUUCUGCUAUGAAGAUUGAAGGAGGUACAGUGUGUGACUGAACCCUGGACACAUAGGCCACAGAUGGUCUCGUUCACUUGGCAGCCCUCACCACACUUCAGUCACAGCUUCCUUCCCAUGCUUCAUUAGCCAAGUUAGUGGUGGUGGGGGGUGCAUCAGGGAUACCUGAGAACUCGUUAAAAUGCAGAUUGCCUAGCCCCGGCCCCAGAGGUUCUGAUUCAGUGGGUCAAGGCUGGUCCUGGGACUCUGCAGUUUUUACAACUUCCCAGGCUGUGUGCCACAAGUACUUUGAACAUGGCACUUGAAGGUUCAUUGUAAUAGAUGGACUGAUGUCAGGAGACAGGCAUGGAUGUCAUCCGGUGAGCUUGAGUCUCGAUGAUGAAAGUUAAGAAGUUCUUCCCUGAAAAAUGUACAAACCCACCUAUCUACAAGAUCUUGCAUAGUUUCAGGCAAUUCCUGGAUCCUUAAAAACCAACCAUGGAUCCCUGCUCCCAGCGUCAGGAUGAUCCACUGGUCUAAACACCAGGCCUCAGCUCACCUCUGACAUGUAGGCUGCCCAGCCCUCCCGACAAAAUCGCUUCUCUGUGUUCACACGAUGCUUAGUGAGGAUAAUACUCCAUCAGGGUAGCUGUUUACAGAUCUGCCUCCCCUCCUGGACUAUGGGGACUCGCAAGUGGUCGUUACUCCCCCUUCCUAACCCAUAAAAUUAUACUUCCCUUUGAGGUUAGGCCUAACCAUGUGAUUUACAGUAGCCAAUAAAAUGUCGGUGAUACAAACUUGGCGAGCCUGUGUGAUUCACCACAUUCUCUUCACCUUGCCGGUGAUCUUGGAAAUGCGCAUCUAGGGGGAGGAGCCACCAGCGGCUGUCCUGGAGAUCCUGGGUGAACAGAAACUCCUGCCCACCUGUGUUAGACACACAGCUUGAGCAUGAACCAAGCCUUUGUUGCACUAGGUACAGGGUUAUUUGUCGCUGCAGCAUAACCUGACUUGGCCUAUGGAUCCAGUGCUUUGAAACAAUGAGCUUUGGGUCCCCGUUCCCUACACAGGCUAGAACAGAGGAGGCAAUCAAAAAUCACACCAGUUACCAUUUAUUAAGACCUUGCUAAGUGCCAGGCACUAUUCACUGUUUCAUCACCUAAAAGUCCCACCAGCCCUAGAAGUCAGGUGUCCCAAUUUACAGAUGAGGGACGUUUCUGGCUAGCAAAUGGCCUAGGAACCCACGUCUCCAUCCUCUGGCACCACUUACAACCCAAGAGACAAACGGGCUGGUGCUUUUUCUUGCUGCUCACUAAGCCAGUGGUUCUCACUGAGCCUCGGUGUCCACAGUGUGAAGUGGUUUCAUACUAAUGCUCUUCUCUCCGGUCGGCUGUGACAUGUCAAGUGCUCUGCACAGUCCCUGGCAGGUCAUAAGUGCUCACUAAUGGUAGCUAUUAUUUUUAAUUAUGAUGCUUCUCUGCCUUGGAGACAAGUUGUUUGAAAGAACAAAUGAAUGGAGAAGGGUGAAGUUGGGAUGAGGAGUCUGGGGACACACUGGGAGCCAAAAAGCAAGCGUGACUUUUUCUUAAUGCCUCCAACCCCCCGACCCCCCCCAACCUGGAAGGCCGCUUCCACCUGCUGAGCGCGCGCCUGUGCGCACCGCCUGUGCGCGGGAUGCUUCACUCGCAUCACUUGCCGGGCUGAGAGCGGUGCUGCUCUGUGCACCCCCAUCUGACGGAUGAGGAGACCGAGCCUGGGGCAUCAGAGAUCUUGCCCGAGGACUCACCGCAAGAGGAGGCGGCGCCGCGUGGUGGUGAUGGGGGGACCCGGCCCCCCGCGGCCCGCGACGCGAACCUCUCCUGGAAGGCGCACCCCUUGCGGCCAAGGGGCGCCCUCCAGCCCAGCUCCCUGCGCUUCCAGGCCGGCUGUCUGUCUGUCUGUCUGCAGCCCCCUGCCGGCGGCUUCCCGCGGAGGUGCGAAGGGCGCGCACGCCCCGAG
rnacentral:lncRNA from 1 species